UCCAGAUGCUUGGGGCCAGAUGCAGGUCCCAAUUCCAGAGGCUGGAACCUUGGGGUUUUAGGGGCCUAUGGAUGACAGGAUUCAAGGGGCAGCAGGUCUCUGAGGUCCGACAAGUGGGGAUGGGGGAAUCAGGUGUAGAGGCAACUUGGGGUUCAUCAGACUAGAGAGGUUUGAAUCCAAAGAAAUCUGGGGUCUGAGGGUGCUGGGGUCUUGGGGCACCUCGAAUCUGAACGCCUCUGGUAUGGAGGGAUGAAGGUCUUGGAUCAGGAACAAUCCCAAUGUUGUAGGGUCUUGAGCCUUGCAUUUGGGGGUCAGUGGCACCUUUGGGGUAUUGGAUCCAGUGCUCCUAAAGUACCUUAGGGUCACUCAAGGGCUGAGGGCCAAGGGCAUCAGAGGUCUGGGUCACCAUGAGCAUCCCCUCUUCUGGGAGCUGGACUCCCAGCCCUUAAGGGGUUGGGAAUCUGUGGGUAGAAAGAAGCUGAAGAUUCCAGGACAUUUGGGGUCUCAAAAUCCAGGUCCAGGAGGGACUGCAAGAGAGGGCUAUUUGAGAACUCGAGACCAGUAUCUCGGGUCCUGAGGUGUUGGUGGCCUUCAGUCGCACAUCUGAGGACCCCAGGCACCUCUGAGUCCUAUAAAUGAUAUCCAAAGCUCCUGAGAACCCUGGCUUGGGGGUGGGUGGACCUAUGGAGGUCUUUGAUCCCUGGCUUCCAGAGCAUCUUGGUGUCUGAUAUCUGGAUCUUGGGGGCUCUGGGAUGGGUCUCCCAAGUCAUUUUGGUAAGAGAACAGCUCGUGUUUCAGUAUAUCCGAGCACUCAGUGCAUCUUAAGAGUCUGGGGUCCCAGGGUGUCUGGGAGUUCCCUGGACAUCUUAGACUUCAGUGUUCCCGGACUGGAGGCCAGGUCUGUGGGCACUAAGUCGUGGGUAGAUUUGAGGGGCAGCAUCUGGAGAUUCCAGAGCAUAACAGAGUUUCAAACUCUGUUUGAAACUUUCUCAGGGGUCCUGCUGUCUCAGGGGUCCUGGGACUAUGAGAAUGUCUCAGAUGUGGGGGCACCAGGUCUUAGGUGAAUAUUCAGGAACUGUUUGUGGGUGACUCCAGGUCCUAUGGUCUCAAGAUCUGAUCUGGGAGUUGAAUAAAGGCAGAGCCAGUUAUGGGCAAGUCCUGACUAAUUGUGGGGCUGUAAUCUGAGGGACAUGGUGCCAGGCGUGACCGGGUUCUAGGUUGUUCAUUUCAACAGGGACCUGCCCUUUUCGGGAUCUAUGUGCUCCCUGGCCUUUCUGAGAUGCAAAGUAUGGGGACGCCUGGAGCCUCCUCGUGGGGUGUGGGGGUGGGGGAACGCCAGAACUCAGGACGCCUGGGACUUCUUAGACAGACACCCCAAUGAAGCUGGGGCUGGGGUCUCUCAGUCCUAGGUUUGGGUUUUAGGUCCGAACGGAGUCCGGGGUCCUGGACCCUCAAUUUUGGGUCCUCGGGCCGGCUAGGGGACCCACCAGGCCGUCCUCACCGCGCAGCCUCCUCGUGGCGACCCCCGCAGCCGGCGCAGCCGCAUCGCGCUGCGACCCAGUGGCACGCGCGCAGGGGCGCGUAGCAGCAGAGGCAGGGCACUGCCAGGGAGAGCCGGGGGGCGCUGGGGGCGCAGCCUCGGUC
rnacentral:lncRNA from 1 species